rnacentral:rRNA from 1 species
CACGUAGGGGCCGAGCGUUGUCCGGAAUUAUUGGGCGUAAAGGGCUCGUAGGCGGUUUGUUGCGUCGGGAGUGAAAACUCAGGGCUUAACCCUGAGCCUGCUUCCGAUACGGGCAGACUAGAGGUAUGCAGGGGAGAACGGAAUUCCUGGUGUAGCGGUGAAAUGCGCAGAUAUCAGGAGGAACACCGGUGGCGAAGGCGGUUCUCUGGGCAUUACCUGACGCUGAGGAGCGAAAGUGUGGGGAGCGAACAGG